GGGGGUAUAGUUCAGGGGUAGAGCAUUUCAUUGCAGAUCAAGAGGUCCCUGGUUCAAAUCCAGGUGCCCCCU
rnacentral:tRNA from 1 species